rnacentral:rRNA from 1 species
AUUGAACGCUGGCGGCAGGCCUAACACAUGCAAGUCGAACGAAGUCUUCGGACUUAGUGGCGGACGGGUGAGUAACACGUGGGAACGUGCCUUUAGGUUCGGAAUAACUCAGGGAAACUUGUGCUAAUACCGAAUGUGCCCUUCGGGGGAAAGAUUUAUCGCCUUUAGAGCAGCCCGCGUCUGAUUAGCUAGUUGGUGAGGUAAAGGCUCACCAAGGCGACGAUCAGUAGCUGGUCUGAGAGGAUGAUCAGCCACAUUGGGACUGAGACACGGCCCAAACUCCUACGGGAGGCAGCAGUGGGGAAUCUUGCGCAAUGGGCGAAAGCCUGACGCAGCCAUGCCGCGUGAAUGAUGAAGGUCUUAGGAUUGUAAAAUUCUUUCACCGGGGACGAUAAUGACGGUACCCGGAGAAGAAGCCCCGGCUAACUUCGUGCCAGCAGCCGCCGCCGUAA